CCAACCUCGCCGGCUGUUAACACAGCAAGUCCGAACGAUGAACCCUUCGGUGGGGUUAGUGGCGAACGGGUGAGUAACACGUGGGCAAUCUGCCCUGCACUCUGGGACAAGCCCUGGAAACGGGGUCUAAUACCGGAUACUGAUCCUCGCAGGCAUCUGCGAGGUUCGAAAGCUCCGGCGGUGCAGGAUGAGCCCGCGGCCUAUCAGCUAGUUGGUGAGGUAACGGCUCACCAAGGCGACGACGGGUAGCCGGCCUGAGAGGGCGACCGGCCACACUGGGACUGAGACACGGCCCAGACUCCUACGGGAGGCAGCAGUGGGGAAUAUUGCACAAUGGGCGAAAGCCUGAUGCAGCGACGCCGCGUGAGGGAUGACGGCCUUCGGGUUGUAAACCUCUUUCAGCAGGGAAGAAGCGAAAGUGACGGUACCUGCAGAAGAAGCGCCGGCUAACUACGUGCCAGCAGCCGCGUAAAUA
rnacentral:rRNA from 1 species